AUGUUGAGCCUAGAGGCAAGCAUCUGUUCCUCCACGACCAUCGGCAUGAUGUGCGAGGGUCUGAGGAGGCUUGGAAACAUCUAUAAUGGCGUCGAAGAGAUCAUCUGCCUUCCAAGCAGCCAAGUCUGUGCCUACCAGCAGAGGACGGUGUUGGAUGGAGAAAUGGACGGUUCUCUUGAGCUGCUAGAUCUAUGUGGCACCAUGCAAGAGAUCUUCGCCGAGAUGAAGGCCAUCAUCCAAGAGCUGCAACUGUCUCUAAGGAAAGGGGAUGAUGCGACUGCUCAAGCCAGUAUCCAAUCUUACACCCGCUUGGCGAAGAAGGCCAAGAAUCAUUUCAAGAAGACCACGAAGAAGAUUUCGGCAGAUUGCGGGAUGGUCAUGCUCUUGGCCAAGGCCAGAGAGAUCUCUGUCUCUCUGCUGGAGUCCACACUCCAUCUCUUGUCGAAGCAAAUUGAAAUGCCUAAACAGUCUCUUGUUUCCAAGGCAUUUCACAAAAAGAAGUCAGUUGUUUGCAAGGAGGAGCAAUUGUUGGGGUUAGAGUGCAGUAUCGGAGAUCUUGAGAGCGGAGCAGGACAUCUGUUCAGGAAAUUUGUCCAGAGCAGAGUUUCUCUACUCAACAUCCUUAGCUCAUAG
rnacentral:rRNA from 1 species